rnacentral:rRNA from 1 species
GAUGAACGCUGGCGGCGUGCCUAAUACAUGCAAGUCGAGCAAACGGACGAGAAGCUUGCUUCUCUGAUGUUAGCGGAGGACGGGUGAGUAACACGUGUAUAACCUACCUAUAAGACUGGGAUAACUUCGGGAAACCGUAGCUAAUACCGGAGAAUAUUUUGAAGCGCAUGGUUCAAAAGUGAAAGACGGUCUUGCUGUCACUUAUAGAUGGAUCCGCGCUGCAUGAGCUGGUUGGUAAGGUAACGGGUUACCAAGGCAACGAUGCAUAGCCGAACUGAGAGGGUGAUCGGCCACACUGGAGCUGAGCCACGGUCCAGACGCCUAAGGGACGCAGCAGUAGGGAAUCUUCCGCAAUGGGCGAAAGCCUUACGGAGCAACGCCGCGUGAGUGAUGAAGGUCUUCCGAUCGUAAAACUCUGUUAUGAGGGAAGAACAUAUGUGUAAGUAACUGUGCACAUCUUGACGGUACCUAAUCAGAAAGCCACGGCUAACUACGUG